rnacentral:rRNA from 1 species
AACGAACGCUGGCGGCAGGCCUAACACAUGCAAGUCGAACGUGAAGCCACCUUCGGGUGGUGGAAAGUGGCAGACGGGUGAGUAACGCGUGGGAACGUGCCUUUCGGUUCGGGAUAACCCAGGGAAACUUGGGCUAAUACCGGAUACGCCUUCGGGGAAGGAUUCAUUGCCGAAGAUCGGCCCGCGUCGGAUUAGCUAGUUGGUGGGGUAAAAGGACCUACCAAGGCGACGAUCCGUAGCUGGUCUGAGAGGANG